rnacentral:rRNA from 1 species
GACGAACGCUGGCGGCGUGCUUAACACAUGCAAGUCGAACGGAAAGGCCCUGCUUUUGUGGGGUGCUCGAGUGGCGAAGGGGUGAGUAACACGUGAGUAACCUGCCCUUGACUUUGGGAUAACUUCAGGAAACUGGGGCUAAUACCGGCUAGGAGCUCCUGCUGCAUGGUGGGGGUUGGAAAGUUUCGGCGGUUGGGGAUGGACUCGCGGCUUAUCAGCUUGUUGGUGGGGUAGUGGCUUACCAAGGCUUUGACAGGUAGCCGGCCUGAGAGGGUGACCGGCCACGUUGGGACUGAGAUGCGGCCCAGACUCCUACGGUAGGCAGCGGUGGGGAAGAGUGCACAAUGGGCGGAAGCCUGAUGCAGCAACGCCGCGUGCGGGAUGACGGCCUUCGGGUUGUAAACCGCUGUCGCCUGUGACGAGGCGUUAGUGACGGUAAUGGGUAAAGAAGCACCGGCUAACUACGUG